UACGGGGGGGGCAAGCGUUGUUCGGAAUUACUGGGCGUAAAGGCUCGUAGGUGGCCAACUAAGUCAGACGUGAAAUCCCUCGGCUUAACCGGGGAACUGCGUCUGAUACUGGAUGGCUUGAGUUUGGGAGAGGGACGCGGAAUUCCAGGUGUAGCGGUGAAAUGCGUAGAUAUCUGGAGGAACACCGGUGGCGAAGGCGGCAUCCUGGACCGACACUGACGCUGAGACGCGAAAGCGUGGGGAGCAAACAGG
rnacentral:rRNA from 1 species